UGUUUGAUGUUCUAACGUGGACCCGUGAUCCGGGUUGCGGACAGUGUCUGGUGGGUAGUUUGACUGGGGCGGUCUCCUCCUAAAGAGUAACGGAGGAGCACGAAGGUUGGCUAAUCCUGGUCGGACAUCAGGAGGUUAGUGCAAUGGCAUAAGCCAGCUUGACUGCGAGCGUGACGGCGCGAGCAGGUGCGAAAGCAGGUCAUAGUGAUCCGGUGGUUCUGAAUGGAAGGGCCAUCGCUCAACGGAUAAAAGGUACUCCGGGGAUAACAGGCUGAUACCGCCCAAGAGUUCAUAUCGACGGCGGUGUUUGGCACCUCGAUGUCGGCUCAUCACAUCCUGGGGCUGAAGUAGGUCCCAAGGGUAUGGCUGUUCGCCAUUUAAAGUGGUACGCGAGCUGGGUUUAGAACGUCGUGAGACAGUUCGGUCCCUAUCUGCCGUGGGCGCUGGAGAACUGAGGGGGGCUGCUCCUAGUACGAGAGGACCGGAGUGGACGCAUCACUGGUGUUCGGGUUGUCAUGCCAAU
rnacentral:rRNA from 2 species